UGAUAGACACCUGUCAAACCAUUAUGCAGGUGUUCCAAGGUGAGCUCAGGGAGGACAAAAACCUCCUGUGGAGCAGAAGGGCAAAAGCUCGUUUGAUCUUGAUUUUUUGUAUGAAUACAGACGGGGAAAGCAGGGCCUCAUGAUCCUUCUGACUUUUCAGGUUUUAAGCAGGUG
rnacentral:ncRNA from 1 species